rnacentral:rRNA from 1 species
GGAAGGUGCAAGCGUUAAUCGGAAUUACUGGGCGUAAAGCGCGCGUAGGCGGUUAGAUAAGUCGGGUGUGAAAGCCCCGGGCUCAACCUGGGAACUGCAUUCGAUACUGUCUGGCUAGAGUGUGAUAGAGGGAGGCGGAAUUCCGCAUGUAGCGGUGAAAUGCGUAGAGAUGCGGAGGAACACCAAUGGCGAAGGCAGCCUCCUGGAUUAACACUGACGCUGAGGUGCGAAAGCGUGGGGGGAGCAAACAGGAUUAGAUACCCUGGUAGUCCACGCCCGUAAACGAUGUCAACUAGCCGUUGGGAGCAAUUUGGCUCUUGGUGGCGUAGCUAACGCGAUAAGUUGACCCGCCUGGGGAGUACGGUCGCAAGAUUA